GUGUGCACCUCAGCUCUGUGGAGGAGGAAAGGGAGGUUCUGGAGGUUUCUUAAGGAGAGUUUAAGAGACCAGAUGUCCAUCUUCUCACAGCACAUUCUUAAACACAAUUUGCAACAGCCCAGGCAUUCCAUUCAAAUUAGGAGCUGUUUUGAAAAGAAACGAAGACGUUAGCCACUGAUACAGGCCGUCUGGAAGGGCAGGACAGUUAAGACUCACAAUCAGAGUUUUCUAGCCAACCUCAGAAUCAUGGCUGCGCUACAGCUGGAUCCCUGAAAGCCUCCACACAUGCUGUGGGCAGACUCCUUCUGAGAGGGUGAGUCCAUGACGGCAGAGCAAAGGCAUGGCGGCAGAAACAGCUGAGAGCUCACAUCUGGAUCUGCAAGGACGAGGCAGUGAGCACACUGGAAAAAGGUGGCCUGUCCUCUGGAAGCUCAAAUUCCGCACCUAGUGACACACCUCCUUGAACAAGGCCACAAGGCCACACCUGCUAAUUCUUCCCGAAUUGUUUACCAGCUGGGAACCAAGUAUUCAAACAAAUGAGCCCCCAGCAGGAGCCAUUCUCAUUCAAACCACCCAGGAGUGAGGGAGGGGAAAAAAGACAAACACUUAGACACACUGAAGCCUGGGACGGGACUGAUGGAGACGCCUCAGCACCCAGAAGCUCAGGGCGUAUUUUAUAUACAGUUGAACAGAGUGGGGUUAUUGUAUACAGCUGAACAAGGUGGCGGGGUUAUUGCAUACAGAUAAAGAAGGAGGCAGAGCUUAUGGUAUAACACCGGGCCAAGGAGACAAGUUUAGCCAAUCUUGGCAGGAACAGUCUUCAGACCAGAAUAUGGGGGAGUGGACAAGAAGCUAUGGUGGGCAUUUUUUUCUGCAUAUAUUAUCAACAUCCACAUGUGGAAGGCUCCGCUAUCCCGCUGAGCCUCACUCUAGACCAGUGGUUCUCAACCUUCUGAACGCUGCAACCCUCUAAUACAGUUCCUCAUGUGGCGGUGACCCCCUCCAACCAUAAAAUACUUUGCCAUGUCGUAGCUGUGAUUUUGCGACUGUUAUGAACCAUAAUGUAAAUACUUUUGGAGACAGAGGUUUGCCAAAGGGGUGGUGACCCACAAGUUUGUCGUGGACAUUUCUAUUGCGUUUAUUAGUGUAUUAUCGUUGUACAAAACAAUAGAUUUAUGACGUUUGACGUUAUGACCUUAUGACGUUUUCACGCAUGUAAGUCAUGUACUUUGGUCAAAUUCAGUCCCCAUUAUCCUUUCUCACUCCCCUUCCUUGACACUAAAGCAUUUCAUCUUUCUGUCUAUCCCUGUACCAAUACCAUCCCGCCUCCUUAUUAAAGUUUUGAUAGCUACACGGUAA